GCGGGUGUGGUGUAGUGGCAACACGUCUCCCUUCCAAGGAGAAGAUCGCCGGUCCAAAUCCGGUCACCCGCU
rnacentral:tRNA from 1 species